rnacentral:rRNA from 1 species
UACGUAGGGGGCAAGCGUUGUUCGGAAUUACUGGGCGUAAAGGGCGCGUAGGCGGCACAGCAAGUCGGGUGUGAAAGCCCGGGGCUCAACCCCGGAACUGCUUUCGAAACUGCUGAGCUAGAGUGCGGAAGGGGCAACUGGAAUUCUUGGUGUAGCGGUGAAAUGCGUAGAUAUCAAGAGGAACACCUGCGGCGAAGGCGGGUUGCUGGGCCGACACUGACGCUGAAGCGCGAAAGCCAGGGGAGCGAACGGG